GCGUGCGCCCUGGGGCCGAAGUCGGGGCGCGCCGCGGCUCGAGCGCGGAGAGCGGCGGGCGGUGCAGCCAAUGGGAGGCGGCGCUGCCUGGCGGCUGGUAGGCGGGGCCUGCGCGGGUGUGAGGUUAGCGCGAGGCGUGACCUAGUUGACAGGCUCUGAGGUGCUGCUGUGGCGGCGGCUGCGGGGCUGAGGCGGGUGGGGAGCCUGAGCCGAGCGCGGGCUGAGGGAGGAGGGCGGCGAUUGGAGAGCGGCGCGCGGCGCGGGACGCGGAGCCCCUGUCACUUUUUCCCUUCCCGAGUGCCCCCUCCCACUCCACACACACCCUGUUUGCCCGUGAGCCUGGGGAACUUGCACCUUAAAGCCAGCCACCCCCACGGCAGCAUGUACCCCAGCAACAAGAAGAAAAAGGUGUGGAGAGAGGAGAAAGAACGUUUGCUGAAGAUGACCUUAGAGGAGAGACGCAAAGAAUACCUAAGGGACUAUGUUCCUCUGAGCACCAUUCUAUCGUGGAAGGAGGAGGUGAAGGGCAAGAGCCAAAAUGAUGGAUGCAUCUCUAAUGGUUGAAGAAGUGGUGGAGGAUGGCAUGGGAGAGAGUGCCUGAGGAUCCUUGCCUGAGACAAGUUAUGGAAAGAAAAUUUUACAGCUUUGGCACUAGGAAAAGAGCCCUUUUAUCCCAUCUUGUCUUCCAGUCCAUUUUGAAUCAAGAAAGACCCAUUGAAGACUCCUUUGAGAAGAGUCUGUUUUGAAGAAGGAAAAAGAAAUACUGUUUGAGAGAAGGCAAACAGACAAAAAGGGUGAUAGAAAUGUGUAUUUUUGUUGUGUAUAUAACACCGAGAGACCUUUCCAGAGUGAACAUAGAGAACUGAGAAGGGAGUAAAUUAAGGAAUGACUGAAUUUUGUGGGUCUUGAUGGAAAAAUGUUGAUCAUCUUCUAAUGUGAAAAAAACAGUGCUUCAUUCCAAGGACUUUUUGUCUCUGCUGUGUGCAGUUGUCAUAAACUCUUCUCACAUUCAAAACUACCCCUUUGUCCUCUGUGAAUGAUGGCACUCUUGCUUCUAUUCCAGCAGUGCUUCCAAGGAUGAAUGAAAAUAUAUAGCAUUUGCCAAAACCUAAAAAGUACAGUCUGUUUAUUUAUCACUAGAGCUUUGUAAAGUACUUCUCUUGCAUUUUAAAAUUCUUUAGUGCUCAAAACCAACCAUUGUGGGUUUUUGUCAAUAAAUAUUAAUUUUUCAAGAUGAA